GUUGAAUAACGCUGAGGCAAAGCGACUCGCCUGUAAGGCAGGUAUCCCAGGUUCGAAUCCUGGAUUCAACA
rnacentral:tRNA from 2 species